AACACAUGCUUGACUAAUUAUAAUGUAUCAUUUGCCUCAAAGCGAUUCAUGGAAAGCUUCGUUUGCCUGAAUUUACAAAUUAUACAUUAGAAAUACGGUUUCAGAUUCUGUCAGUUAAGCCAAUUUCAAAUCUUCUUGAUGGAAACCUUACUGACAUUAUAUGCACUUAGCUCCAAUUAAGAUCAGAGUCAGACUGCUUGAUACAAAUAUUGUGGUUACGGUUUUAAAGUGUGACGUAACGAGCUCUAGGCGGUCACGUGGUUUUUUUUCGCGUAUUGUAUCGGGCCACCCAUCGCUGUUAGCGUAACCUAACCCGCAGCUGGAGCUAUUGCUGCUAGUUUCGAUUGGAUUGUCUGAACAGCGCACUAAACUACCAUGGACAACAGAGGCUACGGUUCCGGUUACUCAAGUUGGGGAGGUGGAGGAUCAGGCAGCAGAGGUUCUGGUGGCUUUGAUCUGUAUGGGGAGGUUAUAAGGACUCGAUGUCU